UGCAGUCGAGCGAACUGAUUAGAAGCUUGCUUCUAUGACGUUAGCGGCGGACGGGUGAGUAACACGUGGGCAACCUGCCUGUAAGACUGGGAUAACUUCGGGAAACCGAAGCUAAUACCGGAUAGGAUCUUCUCCUUCAUGGGAGAUGAUUGAAAGAUGGUUUCGGCUAUCACUUACAGAUGGGCCCGCGGUGCAUUAGCUAGUUGGUGAGGUAACGGCUCACCAAGGCAACGAUGCAUAGCCGACCUGAGAGGGUGAUCGGCCACACUGGGACUGAGACACGGCCCAGACUCCUACGGGAGGCAGCAGUAGGGAAUCUUCCGCAAUGGACGAAAGUCUGACGGAGCAACGCCGCGUGAGUGAUGAAGGCUUUCGGGUCGUAAAACUCUGUUGUUAGGGAAGAACAAGUACGAGAGUAACUGCUCGUACCUUGACGGUACCUAACCAGAAAGCCACGGCUAACUACGUGCCAGCAGCCGCGGUAAUACGUAGGUGGCAAGCGUUAUCCGGAAUUAUUGGGCGUAAAGCGCGCGCAGGCGGUUUCUUAAGUCUGAUGUGAAAGCCCACGGCUCAACCGUGGAGGGUCAUUGGAAACUGGGGAACUUGAGUGCAGAAGAGAAAAGCGGAAUUCCACGUGUAGCGGUGAAAUGCGUAGAGAUGUGGAGGAACACCAGUGGCGAAGGCGGCUUUUUGGUCUGUAACUGACGCUGAGCGCGAAAG
rnacentral:rRNA from 2 species